UACGUAGGGGGCAAGCGUUGUUCGGAAUUACUGGGCGUAAAGCGCGCGUAGGCGGAUUGGCAAGUCAGAUGUGAAAGCCCCGGGCUCAACUUGGGAACUGCAUUUGAUACUGCCAAACUAGAGUACAGAAGAGGUGACUGGAAUUCCCAGUGUAGCGGUGAAAUGCGUAGAUAUUGGGAGGAACACCAGAUGCGAAGGCGGGUCACUGGGCUGAUACUGACGCUGAGGCGCGAAAGCCAGGGGAGCGAACGGG
rnacentral:rRNA from 1 species